rnacentral:lncRNA from 1 species
GCAUGCUAGGUGGGAUGAGAGGAGAAAGAGCUCUCUAACAAUCCGAGACCUUGUCUAAAAAUAUUAGCCAGAACGUACAUAGUUUAAGUUUCUUAAUCCUAGUCUAAGUAUAUAAGAUUUCCUUCGUAUAUACUCAAAGUGAGACAAAGUAUAUGCCUGCAACGGUUCUCACAUGCAUCUUUCAUUUAAGAUGCGAGGUUGAUGUUUUUAGUUCCAUGUAACUUAUUUACUAAGGAGAACUUAGAUAAUUAUAAAAGAUCAAAGUAUCAAACAAUUCAAAUAUCAUUCUCUGAUUAAUGUUUUUUGGAUAAGACCUUAGAUUAUUGCGGAUCGAAACCUCUGCAAAUCUAUGGUUCCAUCACUAGGACACAACAGAGUGAAUUUGAGCCUAUUUGUUUGUGACCGCUAGCGUCAUCUUCAACAGAAUGAACCCGAGCCCAUUCAUGACCGCUAGCAUGAAGCAUCAUCUUCCGCAUCUCCUCUAAUCCACGGUUCCAUUGCCAUCCACACUUUGCUUCUCAAGGUAAUCACCUCCCAGGUGAAAGAAGCUAGCAGUGAAAACGUUAAAAAUAAAAACAACUGGAGAAAGCACUUGGGUUUGUCACGGACUCGCAGCAGCUCUAUGGGCGGUGGCGCGUGUUGUUUUGUACCGUUGGUUUUGUACCCUUCGUUCCAGAGGAGACACAGCUUUUGAUGCCCCAAAGAAAAGGGCUUAUGAAGG